CUGUAAGUCUCCCACAGGAACUUAAACCAAGGGGUAACCAACUCACGGUCAGAUCUAUCUUUCCCCUUCUCUCCACUGACAAUACUCAGCUGCAAAUCUUCAGGCUUCCUAUCAGCUUCAAGGUCAUCAACAUCAAGUGCCUCCUCCAGAGCAUCAGCCUGAGAGCGAGCCUGCUCAGCUUUCUCGGUAGAAAGAUGCAGGAAAUGCUUGAUGACUUCCUCCAACGAGCUCACAUUCACUUGCUGGCAUACAAUACGGUACUGGAUCAACCCAUCUUUAGCGAACCGACCUCUCUUCAAGUCGACACAAAGGUCCAGGUACUUGAACAUGAUCUUCUCGAGCGGCUUCUGCCACGCUCUGUACCUCUUGGAGGUGAUGAGGUCGUGAAGUGCCUGAAGGGCAUCUUGUUUCUGUCCAACAUUGAUCAACUCUGCAAACACACCAAAUGUCAUUUCACUAACCCUGUAACCAAAUCCAUGGGCACUAAAUGGAACUUACCAUCAGCACGCUUCAAUGCGUUCUCAGGUUUGGCAAAAUGCGCCAUGUUUUUCAGACAAGCUCACACGGAAAGGAUACUCUCAGCUUUGUUCUGAACAAAUCAAUAAGCAUAAAACUGAUUCAAAGAGAGCUUUUUUUUUUGCCCAAACCCUAAAUUCAAUCUCUUUCAAUCAGAAAACACGAAAGAUUCGAUAAACUGAUGUAAAAUCUAGACUAGAUGAGUUCGAUGAGAUCCGUCGGACAAGAAAGAGCAGAGAUCUAAUCACUGUCGUUUUCUGAAACAGAACACGAAGCUUGUAACUAACCUGGUCCGCCGUGAUGAUGAGAGUGUUGUUUGAGAGGAAAUGGAAGCAGCGAGACUAGGGUUUCUUGUAUUGGAUAUGAUUGUAUUUUGCAAAUAACACCAGAAUCUUCGAUCUUUUUCUAAAUUACCCCCGUUUAACUUUUUAGUGUUUAUAAAACCCAAUUAUCUACGGAUGUCCAUUUUCUACAUAGUUGGUGUUAUGCAUUUCAACUUUGUCAAAUUUUAUCAUCAUGUUAUUAAGUUAGAUAAAUAUAAUCAGAACCAACAAAAAACACUAUAAUAUGAGAAAUAUGAGGAGGUCAUUAGAUGUAUCUAGCCUAGAGAUGUUAAAAUAGGUGAAUCCUUCCCACGUAAACCAUCCCAUUUAAACCCGGAACCUUUUAGAGCAAUUUUGGUUUUAUAGUUUCAUAGGGUAAAUCCAUUUGGACCUAUGACUAUUACUUUCGCCAUUUUGAUCAGUUUAGAGUUAUAACUAAUUUUUAUUGAUAUUUAUGAUGUAAAACUAUUUUGAAUAAAAAUUAAUUGUACAAAUCUUUUUUAAGAAAAUUAAGAGUGUUUAAAAAAAAAAAAAAUGUUUGAGUUAAUUUGUUGAUUUGUUUUCUUUCUGGAAAUUGAAUUUUAACAAAAAAAAGUUGAAAAAUGAUUAGAAAAGUUAUAAUUUCUUUUGUUUUUAUUUUAUUUUUGACAAAAGGUUUUAAUUACUUUUAUCUAGUAUUGUAUUUAGUUAAAUAUAUUUAGAUAAACAAAUUAACAUGAUCCCCAUCAAUGUUUUACUAAAGUUACCUAAUUGCUAUCUAUUUAAAACCCAUCAAACUAAAUAAGUUUAAAUGAAAACACACAUUUUAAACCCACUAAAUACAUUUGGUCUCUUUUCAUAUCUCUAAAAACAUAUCUCUAAGAAUCUCUCCUCCUUGAGAUUAAUUUUACUUUUUCUGGUGAUUGGCUAUGGUGGCUUAUUUAGCACCGGAGCCGGUUUCUCUUUUUGUUUCUCUUCAUAUAUUGUUAAGUCUCUGUCAAAGUCGGGAUUCAAUCCGUUUUUCAGGUAGAUGUACUGAAUUUUCUUAAUCGAUGAUGUGGUUCAUCUACUUAUACAUCUUGUCAUCAAUCUGGAUCGAGAUCUUUUGAGUGGAUUCCUCUCUCGUCUUUGUUUUGUCCACCGUUUCUUUUGUUGUUAGCGUUGAUUUGUGUUUGUGAGGGCUCUUUCACCUACUUUCAUGUCCUUGUUUUUUUUGGCGGCCGUUCUGGAUUCACUAUAGUUUCGAUCUUCUUCUAAUAUGGGCUCUGGAUUAGCUUUAUCUGGUGUGAAUCGAAUUGCUCCAUUUUAUUUUCCAAGAGAUCUUGUCGAGUCUCGCAUUUUUCGUUGUGGCUUCGUUCAAGGCGUUUCUCCGGUCUUUCUACUGCUUCCUUCACCGUCUCCAAGUAUGAAUCAUGUUACAGUCACUUUUAAAAACCUAAAUACAGUAUAGUCUAAAACACGAAAAGUACAUAUUUGCAAAUAAUUAAAAACUUUGGGCCAAUUUUCAAUUUCUUGAAACUUGUUAAAAACUCGUCUAGAAGUGUUGUUAGUGGAUUGGUGUCGACCGACACCAAUGGAUGGUAUCGAUCGACACCAUGUCCAAAGCUUAAAUCUUGAAGUGUUCUCUUCGGCUACAAUUUUCUUUAUGUUCCAAGAUGCUCCAGAAUCUUCAAUUUUGUCCAAAAUAUAUCUAAACCUCUAAUAACUCAAAGAGACUCGAAAUACCAAAAAGAUACUAAAACCGGACUUGUUUCAUCGUCCAUAACAAGCAUUAUGUAUCAACCAGACAUGUUAAUAAUAUUUCAGAUGGUUACCAAUUAGUUCUAUCUUUUUUUUUUGAAAGAAUGCUAAAUUUAUUCAUCAAAAAAACCUGUUUACAUCAAGUGGUUCUUUGGUUUAAAAAAUUGCUACUCCUACUCCUUUACCUUCCCCUUCCCCUUUACAGAAACCCAAAACUCAGGAAUCUAUCACCUAGCAAAACUGUCUACCAUAUUUACAGCCUUAUACUAAAACAGUAUUGCAAGAUAUGACCUUUAACUCGUUUGGAUUGUAGUAGGCUUAGCUUGUUACGGAUAGCUUUGUCAGUGAGUUUAGACAGCACCUGCAGUGGAAGAGCCCUUUCACCGUGUCGCCGCUUGUUUCGUUCUCUCCACAGCUUAUACAGAAUAGUUUGAAAUGCGUAUCUGAGACAGAACCUUUUCUGUUUUUCCAUGCCUGGAGUAAUGAUCAACCUCACAACUGCAUCCCAAUUAGUGGAGAAGGAGCUAUGCAGAAACCCCCUCGUAAGAUGUUCCCAAAGUUGAGAUGAGAAGGAACAAUCAAAGAAGAGAUGGUUUCUGGAUUCUGGUGCGUUAUUACAUAGAACGCAUGUAGUGUCUACCCCUUGACACCAACCAGAAACACGAUCCAUAGUAGCUAACCUGUCCUUCAUUGCGAUCCAAGCCAUGAAAGCGAAUUUUGGCGUAGCCUGAGAGAACCAAAUACCACUACCCCAAGUAGACGGCACCCCAGCUUCUCUUGCCAGCUGUCAUGUCUUAUAGGUUGUGAACUUUAGUUUAUAACCUGAGUUCCUUCUCCACAAGGCAACAUCCUUAUCUGUGUUACACUGCUACCGUUUAGUGUUCUCCAACUCCUUUUCAAUAUCAUUUAAGAGUGCUCUUAUGUGCCUUUUCCUCCUCCUAUGAUUAUGAAAAGCCUCCUCCACUGUGGCUUCUCUUUGAAUUCCCAAAUCGAUAGUUCCUCUUUCCUCAAGCAAAUCAAACAUCACCCCUUUAUUAGACCAGCUAUCGUACCAGAAGGAUGUAUGGUGCCCAUUCCCCACUUCUUUCAUAUAGAACGUUUUAGCUAUACUUCUUGGUUUGAGCAUCUUCCUCCAAAUCCAAGAUCCAACUUGGGUGUUUUCAUUGACUUGCCAAAAGCUCUUCUUUUUAAGCAAGUUAGUUUUAAUCCAUCUGCCCCAAAGAGAGUCAUCAGCCAGCAUUCUCUAGAUUAGCUUCAGACCAUAAACAAAAGCGUCUUUUUCUUUCCCUUUUUCAUGCGUUUCUCUGUGUCCUCCAGCAACGCCUGAGCUUCCUCAAGUUCCUUCUCCUCUAUCUCUCUAAGGAUUCUUUGUUUCCUUCUCUCCAGAAGCUCUGCCGCAAGUCUCUUUUGCUCUGCCUCCUCAGUUAGCUUCUGAAGCUUAAGCCGUUUCUGUUCCUCCUCACGUUCCAUUUCUAGUUGCUGACGCUCUUGAUCCUCUUUCCUCUUUUCAAUGAUUGAUUUCCGAGCAAGCAGUCUCUUGUGCUCCUUCUCAACAGUUUCUGCUAGGUUCGGUACAAUGCCACCUAGUUUUGAUGCUUUACUUGGGACAGGAUACAGCAUAGCUCUAACUUUGUUCAAAGACUCAGCAAAAACAGCCAGAUGAUCCUUCAGUCCAUCAGACUCAAUCCCCUGAUUGAAAAAAGUUGAUUAUAUCUACCAAAGGAGUCGAAUAGUUAAAGAGUUAUAUCACUAAAGCAUCAACAGUGGCUUACCAAAUUGCCAAAAAUAACAACACCCUUCAUGUGAUCAACUUUCAUGGCAACAAAGUUGUUCUUCACAGCAUCAACAGAUAUCUUCUCUACCACUGAGAAUUCAAAGAAGGGGACCAACUGAGAUAAACUCUCAAUUCGUAUAGUCUGAUAGAUCUUAGACACCUGAUUAAAAAUAAACAAUCAGCAUAAACCACAAGACCAAUCCAAAAUGGUUGAAUGGAUAUUAAACCCAACAAAGUAGAGAACAAAGAGCAUUCUUUACCUGUUGAAGUAGCCUCAGAGUAGCAAGCUUCUCCAAAGAAGGAACAUACUGGGAGAGUUGCACUUCUGGCAAAGAAGGAGCUGAUGAAAGCUUCCCACCAGAUUUGGAAAUCUUUUCCAGCAACGGCUGAAUCUUGGAGCCAAGAUCAAGUGGGUGAAACUCAUGCUCCAAAACAUGGAAAAGAUCUUUGACCUCCUGUGAUGCACAGCUCAAAACACCUCUUGAAACCUAAAUGUACAGAAACAUCAAAAUCAGAUGCCUGUAAGGAUAUCAGCAAUGUGAUGUGGCUGCUAGAGACUCACCAGCUCUGACAGAAGAGCUGACCUUGAAAGCUGUAAAAGAAAUGCAUUGAAUUAGAAAUAUUAAAAAAAAUGGAAUAUACAAAACAGUAAAGUAACAUCAGAGCCUAUGUUACCAUAUCUCUGCCCUCAAAUUUAGGUUCAAGAUUGAAACCAAUGAGGUUGGCCAUCCUCAAAUUGCGUUCUUUCUCGUUUUCAAGCUCCAUAUGGGAUGCACUCUGAGUUCUAUCAAACGGCGGAACAGAUAACGCCGCCAAGACAACAGAAGAUGCUAUUAGCUGCAAAUCCUUUUGGCUCAAGUUCUUGUUGAAAUUUUUCUGCAGACUAAACAGCUUGAACCAUGCAUAAGCAUGGUACAGAUGGCUAGAAGAAAUCCAGAAGAUCUCAGUCAAUUUGGAAUAGUAGACCAUCAACAAAGAUGACUUGGGCGUUUUCUUGACCAUGCACAUUAAUCCAUAUAUAUCUUCAACAGAACGGAAAGCUUCCUAAAAUAAAUAAAAAAUGGAUACAUCAACAAAGCUUUCUCUAACUUGUUACUAGGGAAUGAAGGAGAAGACAGAACAAGUAGAAACAAAACACACCUGCCAAAGUCCAAGCUCAGUAGCAACUUUCAGCUGAUCAAAUCUUGUGUCCAGGUAAAGCUGCAAGCUCUCUGGGGCUGACAAGUCAGGCCUGUCCCUUUGGUCUCUGUACUUGUUCAGGUUUGCCAAAUGGUUUCUAAUGAUUUCACAAAGCCUGCGGAACUCGGUUGUUCGCUUGUACUGCUUACAGAACUGGAAGGCCUUAUGUGCUGUCAUCUACAAGAGAAUAAGUGUACUUAGAUCUUAUUCAACUAAUAUCACAAGAAUCUAAUAAGCUUAACUAACCGCAUAAAGCGCUUCCAACUUUGAGUUGUUACGCAAUAUCUCAAGCACAGUCCUGUAAGUCUCCCACAGGAACUUAAACCAAGGGGUAACCAACUCACGGUCAGAUCUAUCUUUCCCCUUCUCUCCACUGACAAUACUCAGCUGCAAAUCUUCAGGCUUCCUGUCAGCCUCAAGGUCAUCGACAUCAAGUGCCUCCUCCAGAGCAUCAGCCUGAGAGCGAGCCUGCUCAGCCUUCUCGGUAGAAAGAUGCAGGAAGUGCUUGAUGACUUCCUCCAACGAGCUCACAUUCACUUGCUGGCAAACGAUACGGUACUGGAUCAACCCAUCUUUAGCGAACCGACCUCUCUUCAAGUCGACACAAAGGUCCAG
rnacentral:lncRNA from 1 species